ACCUUUUUAGUAUAAACCAUUACAAUUGCCUUCCAAGCAAAAGAUUUAAAUAAAUAAAAAAGGUA
rnacentral:tRNA from 1 species